rnacentral:rRNA from 1 species
UACGUAGGGGGCAAGCGUUGUCCGGAUUCAUUGGGCGUAAAGAGCGUGUAGGCGGCCAGGUAGGUCGGUUGUGAAAACUGGAGGCUCAACCUUCAGAGGUCGACCGAAACCAUCUGGCUAGAGUCCGGGAGAGGAGAGUGGAAUCCCUGGUGUAGCGGUGAAAUGCGCAGAUAUCAGGAAGAACACCCGUGGCGAAAGCGGCUCUCGGGAACGGUACUGACGCUGAGACGCGAAAGCGUGGGGAGCGAACAGG